AGUGUGUGUUACAAUUUUACUCAGGAUCUGAGCAUAGCAGUAAGGGUCUGUGGUUGAAUAAGAAUGGCCCUCACUUGGCUCAUAUAUUUGAAAGCUUAGUCAACAGGGAGUGGCUCUACUCAGAAGGAUUUGGAGGGGUUCUUUCAAGCAAAUGAGACAACAAAUGCAGUCUGGAACAUCCCAGGAAGAUUCAACAUAAGCGAGGAGAGAAGAUGUGACUAUAUGAGACAGCCAGGAGCCCAGCCAGAGCUACAAGGAAGUGCUAUUGGUCAACAUUGAUGCCCAGUGAUUGCUUAGCUCUCCCAAGGCACAGAGACUCGGAUACCAGCACAAGUCACCAGCACACGUGACCAGAAUCAUGGCUUUUAUUUCCAUAGGUGGUCCCCUUCAUGGCUUUUAUUUCUGUAGGUGGUCCCCUUCUCCUCUUUGCCUCUGACAUCCUCCUCCACAAAUCAGCCUGAGGUGACAAAUGUGGGAGAUGAAGAUUAUUAAGUGAGCCAGAACAUGAGACAGCUCUAAAGUCCCCGAGGAAGAAGAACGACCACUGUUGAACUCUGCAGAUUCUGUUUUCUCGUGCAUAACUGACUCCUGCCCAUAGGAGGGUGUCAUCCAUGUGUAAGCCGAGCCUUUCAACCUCAACUCAAUCUACACACACCCUUCUCAGAGGUUUCGUCCUUCGUCGGAAAGCAGCUAACACUGGAGAAUUCAAUUCUGCUGAGUGGCGAGCUGUGACUUCUUGCUGAUGAAUGGCUUUCCAGAGUACUUUCCAUUUACAAAUAUGAAACAAUAAAGAUCAGGUACAAAGAUGCUCAUUUUUCAACCCACAGAACUCUUUGGAAGCAUCUGUGUCUCCAUUAUUUUAUCUGGAAAGCUGUAUCAAAUAAAAGCAUGGAACUGA